rnacentral:rRNA from 1 species
AUUGAACGCUGGCGGCAUGCCUUACACAUGCAAGUCGAACGGCAGCACGGGAGCAAUCCUGGUGGCGAGUGGCGAACGGGUGAGUAAUGUAUCGGAACGUACCUUUCAGUGGGGGAUAACGUAGCGAAAGUUACGCUAAUACCGCAUAUUCUGUGAGCAGGAAAGCAGGGGAUCGCAAGACCUUGCGCUGAUUGAGCGGCCGAUAUCAGAUUAGCUAGUUGGUGAGGUAAAGGCUCACCAAGGCGACGAUCUGUAGCGGGUCUGAGAGGAUGAUCCGCCACACUGGAACUGAGACACGGUCCAGACUCCUACGGGAGGCAGCAGUGGGGAAUUUUGGACAAUGGGCGGCAAGCCUGAUCCAGCCAUGCCGCGUGAGUGAAGAAGGCCU